rnacentral:rRNA from 1 species
AGAAUUAAUGCUAGAAUGAGUAACCAGGGUAAACCCCUCUACGACGCAAGCUUACAUCUGUACAUUAUUAACAAGCACCCAAUAUACGACAAAUCCAACAAGCAGAGUAUUAAACACCUUGUUAACCCAACAGAGGAGCGUCCGUUAAGAAAGAUUAAAACCUGUAAAAGGAACUCGGCAAACCCAAGGCCCGACUGUUUACCAAAAACAUAGCCUUCAGCAAACCAAAGGACAAGUAUUGAAGGUGAUGCCUGCCCGGUGACAUAGUUUAACGGCCGCGGUAUCCUAACCGUGCAAAGGUAGCGCAAUCAAUUGUCCCAUAAAUCGGGACACGUAUGAAUGGCUAAACGAGGUCUUAACUGUCUCUUACAGGCAAUCGGUGAAAUUGAUCUCCCUGUGCAAAAGCAGGGAUAACCCCAUAAGACGAGAAGACCCUGUGGAACUUCAAAAACAGCAACCACCCCAAUAUACAUUCACACCCAAAGCACUGGUUCGCAUUUUUUCGGUUGGGGCGACCUUGGAGCAAAACAAAACCUCCAAAAAUUGGACCAUUCCUCCAGACUAAGAGCAACUCCUCAACGUGCCAACAGCACCCAGACCCAAUAUAAUUGAUCAAUGGACCAAGCUACCCCAGGGAUAACAGCGCAAUCUCCCCCGAGAGUCCAUAUCGACGGGGAGGUUUACGACCUCGAUGUUGGAUCAGGACAUCCUAGUGGUGCAGGAGCUACUAAGGGUUCGUUUGUUCAACGAUUAACAGUCCUACGUGAUCUGAGUUCAGACCGGAGCAAUCCAGGUCGGUUUCUAUCUAUGAUGAACUCUUCCUCGUACGAAAGGAUCGGAAAAGUGAGGCCAAUACCACAAGCAAGCCUUCGCCUUAAGUAAUGAAGCCAACUCAAUUACAAAAGGCUAUCACUUCCCCCCCCGUCCUAGAAAAGGAUC